rnacentral:lncRNA from 1 species
GUUCAAUCCCUGGGGGGAGGGGAGGAGGGAGGGAGAGAGAGAGAUGGGAAGUAAAAAGAGGUGAGGUGGGAAAUUAAUAAGUUCACUUAGGAUGGACUUUAUAACCAUGGUAAGGAGUUGGGAAUUCAUUAUGGGAGAACAAGGAGUGUUAGGUUUAGAUAUGAGGUGUCCCCCAAAAGCUCAUGUGAAAAUAAUGCAAGAAAGUUUAGAGGUGAAAUGAUUGGGUAAUGAGAUCCUUAACCUAAUCAGUGCAUUAAUCUACUUGAGUGAAUUAGGUGGGUUGGUGGAGCAUGUCUUUGGGGUAUAUAUUUUUUUCCCUGGUGAGCCAAGCUUGAUCUCCUUCAGCUUCCUGAUUACCAUGUCCUGAGCUGCUUUCUUCCACCACACUCUUCUGCCAUGAUGUUUUGCCUCAGUUGGGCCCAGAGCAAUGGAGCCAACCACCUGUGGACUGAGACCUUUGAAACCAUGAGUGCCAAAUAAACUUUUCCUCUAAAAAUUGUUCUUGUCAGGUCCUAUGGUCACAGCAAUGAAAAAACUGACUGAAACAGGAGCUAAUGGGCCAUUUUAAAAGGGUCAAUGACAAGAUCAAACUUAAAUCUAAAAAGAUGGUUAAUGGCUAUUAUGUGUUUGACCUGAUUAAAUUAAUUUGGGCGUACAAACUAUUCACACUUGACUACAUGAAGUGUAUGUAUGAUGUGUCUACAUGAAGUGAUGCAAUUCAAGGGCUCAUGGUUUUUCUUUGGUUUUAUUUUCUAUCUUGAUUUAAGUUAUUAUUAUUUUUACUGUUAUGUAACAAAUAGAAUCCUGUAUGGCAGACUGUAUUUUCUGAUGAUGGCCAUGUCAAUAUCUCACAUCCCACAAAAUUCAUGUUACAGUGUGAUGUGGAUACUCCUCCACUGAGAUGUUGGGUCAAGAUUCCCUCCCUUUGAAUCAGUCAGACCCAUGUAAUUGCCUUGAUAAUAGAGUGUAGUAUAAAUAAUGUGACUUCUGAGGCUAUAUUAUAAAAGAUUUGCACCUCUCCUCUUUCUGUCUCUUCAUUCAAAUGACUUCAGCCUCCCAGCUUUUAAGCCUGCUGGGUUAACACCAGUAGGUGGAAUGAGAGACAAGUGGCCUCUACAAAGCACUUCAGAUUCAUGAGCAAAAUAAAUGUCAUGGCUUAAGCUAUUAAUUUUGGGUUUGAUUUGUUACUCAACAAUAGACAACUGAUAACCAUGAUCUAAGUUUCAGAUUUUAUGUAGCUAAUUUUAAGUAUCUUUUUGUGCAGUCCCCUUUUGUUUCUGAUGGCUAUAGAAUUUUAAUACCUGUGCUGGCUGCAGUAUAGAGAGAAGCAACAUCAGAUGCAGGCAUCAGUUAUAAAGAUGGUUACAGCUAUCUUAAGAAAGAGAUGAUAGUGACUUGAAGACUUCUGUGUCCACUUAGGAUAUAGAAUGCUACAGGAAAAAAAUGUCACUCACACUCUAACAAUGAGAGAAACAGCCAGAUAAUCUAUCUAAUCAUAGUUUUCCUUGAGCCCACCAGAACCCGAGGUCAUAGGCAACCAAGUAAAACCUCUCCAAGGAGAGAGAUGAACAGCCCGAGGUCACAGACAACCAAGUAAAACCUCUUCAAGAAUAGAGACGGGGGCUGGGGAUGUGGCUCAAGCGGUAGCGCGCUCGCCUGGCAUGCGUGCGGCCCAGGUUCGAUCCUCAGCACCACAUACAAACAAAGAUGUUGUGCCUGCCGAAAACUAAAAAAUA